CUGCAAAUCACCUACAGUCAAUUUCCUUAGGCUUCAGACUAAUUAAAUAUUUUUAUGAAUAAUAUGUAUUUUUAAAAUAAAUGUAAAACACAUUGUUUCUAUAUAUAAUUAAUAUCUUUAAAUUAACCAGUUUAGAUUUUUUCCAUCAUUUUUAAUUUACUUUAUGCCAUUGACACUGGUUGUGAAAUUGUAGUUCUUUCCCCUCAUUAAGGCUGUGAAACAUACAAUCUUGUAGCUUUAUCUUUUUCUCUGGUUUUCACAAUCAAAAUCAAAGUUGGCAGUGAUUUACCCCAUAGCUGCCAGGCUUGGUUAAUUAAUGGCUUUUAACUCCUAAACAAAGACUUUUUAAACAAUCCCUAAGGGAAUAACAAUAAGAAACUGCAGUAAACGUAAAGCUAUUGUGCUACAAACCAGUGUGUUUAUGAUAAUGAAUUAAAAUAAUAUAGGUGACAAACCUAUACUUGUUUGCGAUAUCAAGUAGCAUAAUGGACUGUCAUUGUCCAGGUGAAAUAAUUGGAAGUCAACGAUACUGAAACUGUUACACAUUCAAGUUACCAAUGGCCACACCCACUCUGAAACAAAUCUGGGAAUCAUGGGAACAAAUGAAACUAGGAAUAAACACAGGUGAUGAAACAAGACCUGACAUUACCUCUUUUAGUACUAGUAGGCACCACCAGUGAGCAUCUAGGGAGCAGCGAACAUGACAAUGGAGACCAUGGUAGAACUGGCAGAGUGGAUGACCAUGGCAAUGAGCACUGACCAUGGUGGAGCCAGUGGAUCAAAGACAGAGGAGGUGAAGACCAGGGUGAUUUUGUAGGCUCGGAGGAUGAAGGCAGAACCAGUUAAACAGUGGACCAGGGAAGAGCUGGGGGAAAGAGAGGCAAAGAGAGUUGAGCUGAGGAUCUAAUUGCAAAGCAGUCUUUACUAAAUGAAAACAAAAAACACUCUGGAACAUGCAUGCACAGGAGGAACAAAACCAUAUAUUGAUGAGAACAGACAAAGAACUGAACCAAACAUGGAAACAGAUGAUUCUUCUGCACAAUCUGACUUUGCCUCAGCCUGGAAUUGAACUGCUGGUUUCGUCUGGUCAGAGGAGAACUGGUCCCCCGACUGAGCCUUGUUUCUCCCAAGGUUUUUUCUCCAUUCUGUCACCAAUAGAGUUUUGGAUCCUUGCCGCUGUCGCCUCUGGCUUGCUUAGUUGGGGACACUUCAUUUACAGCGAUAUCGUUGACUUGAUUGCAAAUUAUUGCACAGAUACUAUUUAAACUGGACUGAGCUGCAUGAUGACAUCACUGAAUUCAAUGAUGAACUGCCUUUAACUGUCAUUUUGCAUUAUUGACACACUGUUUUCCUAAUUAAUGUUGUUCAGUUGCUUUGAAGCAAUCUUUUUUGUUUAAAGUGCUAUAUAAAUAAAAGUGACUUGACUUGACUUACUGAUUCCA
ensembl:lncRNA